CACUCCUGCGGGAGGCAGCAGUGGGGAAUAUUGGACAAUGGGCGCAAGCCUGAUCCAGCCAUGCCGCGUGAGUGAUGAAGGCCCUAGGGUUGUAAAGCUCUUUCACCGGUGAAGAUAAUGACGGUAACCGGAGAAGAAGCCCCGGCUAACUUCGUGCCAGCAGCCGCGGUAAUACGAAGGGGGCUAGCGUUGUUCGGAUUUACUGGGCGUAAAGCGCACGUAGGCGGACUAUUAAGUCAGGGGUGAAAUCCCGGGGCUCAACCCCGGAACUGCCUUUGAUACUGGUAGUCUUGAGUUCGAGAGAGGUGAGUGGAAUUCCUGGUGUAGAGGUGAAAUUCGUAGAUAUUCGGAGGAACACCAGUGGCGAAGGCGGCUCACUGGCUCGAUACUGACGCUGAGGUGCGAAAGCGUGGGGAGCAAACAGGAUUAGAUACCCGUGUAGUCCCAUG
rnacentral:rRNA from 1 species